CAUUUUCCAGCCUCCCUUGCAGCCAAGAAUUGCCCUGAGACUGAAUGAAGAUACAGGUGACAGAUGCCACUUCUAGGCCUCUAGAAAAUUCUGCCUGGAAGUAAUCUUGCAGUUAACUCAAAGGCUAUGGACCAAGAGAAGAUAGGGCCCCAGUAUGGAAGAAGCUUGCUCCCUGCCACAGCAGACUGAUAACCAGAACCACAAGAGAUCUUAUAUGAACAAGAAAAAAAAAAGGCCUAUGUUGUUUCAGAUGACAAGUACCAAGAGUGACUUGCUUUCACUCAGCCACCCACAUACUCAGAAUGUAUCCCUGCGUAUGCUGUGUCCAUUGUGCUUGUGUCAGUGAAAAACAGGGUGGAAAGGGAGAGCUAAGACUGCCGCUCUUGGUAGCCACUAUCACCAUGUCCAGAUGGGAUGGUACAGAAGCUAAGACGCUUAGCUGCAGCUGCGAAACAAGUUCAUGGGCAACUUGGAAGCAGAGCCUGGAUUUCUUCCUCCCAGCCCCAAGGUUGAAAAACAGAACAAAACAAAACAACAACAACAACAACAAAAACCAACCCACAGCAACUGACAGCACCUAAGGUCAAACUUCUAAGCAGACUGUUGAAGGUCAAGGAUGAAGAAAUGAUACCUUGAUACCCAGGGAUUCUGCAAAUCAUCUGCCUGUGAACAAAUAGGAAGUAGAUGAUGUGAAGUGGCAGGAAUGUGAAGACUUUCAAAUCUUUCCUCAUGGUGAGGACAGGCAACUAGUUUAUAAGAAAGCUCUCUGGGGGUGGGGGUGGGGAACUAAUUUCCCUAAAAGGGCACCAAAAAUAUUCCAAAACUAUUUCUUCAGCUACUAUCAAACUGGACUGUCUUAUUAAAUUCUCUUUGCUGUGA